UUUUGACAUAAAACUCAUUUUUACAAAAAAUGCAGUUGUGACGUUAUUUCUCCGGAUGUGCGAAUAUGUAAUUUCAAAAUAAGUAUUCCCGGGGAAUUCCCGACAAACAGAGACAGACCCUUUUUAAAUGAGACCAUAAAAUAGUUCUGGUGUUGGCGCGAGACGGUCAGACCACAUCGACGACAUUCUGUUCGCCGAGUGGCGGCGCUGCGAGCCCGAGUGGACCUCGCUGCACACCGACGAAGUCAUCGUCAAGAACCAACUCUUCGAGAGCAUCUUCCAGAAAAUCCUCACCGAAACCAUAGACGAAUACAAGAAAACAGUCCUCGCCAACAAAAACCCCCUACAAGUCAAUGUCACACUCUAAGCGUGCAAUAUAAUGUUAUAGCUCUAGCGUAAUUCUUCAGUUAAAUGUAAUCCACGUUAUAUUCCACGUUGAAUGUUCGUUGUUCUAGUAGAAAUGUGUAUUCAAACGUCGAACAAUUGUUUGUUAAAUUAUUUAUUUUAGCGAUAAUAUUGGAGAAUAUCACAUAGUGCUUACAAUUUAUACUCGCUAAAUCUAUAAAUAUAAGCAUGGUAAUAUUGUAUUACAGUAAUAGUUGCAUGUUGCUAAAAUAUUAUAUAAUGUUUUUAGUGUAAUUGAUAUCGCUUUUGAUGUAUAGUCAUUAUUAUAUUGAUGAAAUUGUGUAUGUUGAUACGUUAUGUAUAAAUUUUGUUUUGUUAAAACUCGUUCUCUUGUUCAAUAUUACAGUAUAUUGUGAUUAUAGAUUUUCUUGUGGGCAUUUAUAUAGUUAUACCACGUUGUUAUACAUAUUUUGUUUUCUUAUAUACUAUAUCUACUUACAAAAGCGAAGACAUGUAAGUAUUAAAACUAAUUACAAACAAUUUUUAAACAAUAGUAACGAGACUAGUAAAAGCCUACAAUUAUCUACAAUAAAUUAUUUUUCCGAACUUGUAAAAUACUUCCUAGGAUCAGUCGCCGAGUUUUGUAGAACAAAAUUUAGUUAUAGUUCCUUAUUUUAUACAAAUAAAGGCCAUUUUAACACUA